GAUCCUGCCAGUAGUCAUAUGCUCGUUUCAAAGAUUAAGCCAUGCAUGUCUGAGUACAGCCUUCCUUAGUGUGAAACCGCAAACUGCUCCAUAAACAAGUCUUAACACUACUUGGUGACGGAUUCGAAUAUUCGGAUAACUGUGGCAAUUCCAGAGCUAAUACGUGCAAUUAAGUUCUGACGCCUUGCUUCAUCGAAGCUAGGCGAAAGGGCGCAAUUAUUAGGUCCGCAAACCGAGAACCUGUUCAUGCGUUAUUGCCUCUUGCAGGCUUAGCCUUGAGCGGUACUUUUUUGGGAUGUGGUGACUCCGGAUAACAUUGCCAAGCGAGUCGGUCAUUAUGCCGUCGCAAUACCAAUUGUGAGACUUACUUAUCAGGCUAUGGAUUGUAGGGUAAGGGCCUACGAUGGCUGUCACGGGUGACGGGGAAUCAGGGUUCGAUUCCGGAGAGUUUGCCUGAGAGAUGGCUGACACAUCUAAGGAAGGCAGCAGGCGCGCAAAUUACCCACUCCCGGCUUGGGGAGGUAGUAACGAGAAAUAACGAUGCAAGACUCUUCCGAGGCCUUGCAAUCGGAAUGAGUUUAGCAUAAAUCCUUAAACAAGGAUCUAUUAGAGGGCAAGUCUGGUGCCAGCAGCCGCG
rnacentral:rRNA from 1 species